AAACGUCGAUGGAUGCUAGGUGUUGGGGGCAUGCUCCUCAGUGGCGCAGCUAACGCUUUAAGCAUUCCGCCUGGGGAGUACGGUCGCAAGAUUAAAACUCAAAGGAAUUGACGGGGGCCCGCACAAGCGGUGGAGCAUGUGGUUUAAUUCUAAGCAACGCGCAGAACCUUACCACCCCUUGACAUGUCCCGGACGGUUACCAGAGAUGGGUUCCUCUCUUCGGAGCCGGGAACACAGGUGCUGCAUGGCUGUCGUCACCUCGUGUCGUGAGAUGUUGGGUUAAGUCCCGCAACGAGCGCACCCCCCGCCCUUAUUUGCCACCAUUUAGUUGGGCACUCUAAGGAGACAGCCGGUGAUAAACCCCGAAGAAGGUGGGGAUGACGUCAAGUCCUCAUGGCCCUUACGGGCUGGGCUACACACGUGCUACAAUGGCGGUGACAAUGGGAUGCUAACGCGCGAGGGUUAGCAAAUCUCAAAAAGCCGUCUCAAUUCGGAUUGGGCUCUGCAACUCGAGCGCAUGAAAUUGGAAUCGCUAGUAAUCGUGGAUCAACACGCCCCGGUGAAAAUAUUCCCGGGGCUUGUACACACCGCCCGUCACACCAUGGGAGUUGGUUUUACCCGAAAACGCUGCGCUCACCCGCAUGGCAGGCAGCCGACCACGGUAGGGUCAUCGACUGGGGUGAAGUCUACAAAGGGAACCCAAAAAA
rnacentral:rRNA from 1 species